CAUUGGAUGGGAUCACAACAUAAUGGUAAAAUGUGUUUGGUUUCAUAUUUGACUCAAGUGACGAGGUGUUCUCUAUAUGAGACGUCACUAGGUGGUGUUAAAUGGGUCAAUUUCUUUGAUCUCAAAACUCAAAUCAUAACAACAAUAAUACUAGUUUAGAAAUAUCACUUUUGGGUGAGGAAAUCAUGGAUCAAAUUGUUUAUUUUUCGCCCCAUACAUUCCUUUGACCGGAGCCCAAUUGGAGUUGGGAAGAAGGGAUAUAUUUUCUUUAGAGAAAAAAAUGAUGAACUAGCAUGAAUUGAUCUGAGCAUUCAAACAGUUGAUCGAGGAGAUCGGUGUUAAAGAAGAGGUGAUUUUUUGUAUGCUCGUUCGUUAUGAUGCUCGCUCGGUAAAGACCUAUUGUGUUGGGAUUUAUAGUCAAUCCAUAUAUAGAGACAUUUGUGACUUCAAGCUUGACAAACACCAUAGUUUCACCUCAACAUCAGAUGAAAUCCAUUGCAGAUUAGAUGAAACAAUCCAAUAUUUCCAAGAACGAGUUCAGGUUUCUUGAUGGUUAAGUUCACUCCUCACUCCAACAAAUUUGAUCCCAGCUACGACUCAUGUUGAGUAUGACGAAGACACAGAAGGUGGCAAGGGGUGGCAGGGGAGCCGAGCGAGCAAAGUUCUAUAUCUAUGCUUUGUUGUAACACUAAAUUUUUUAAUUCAUUCAAGUAAUAAUAUAGAACUACUCACACG